rnacentral:rRNA from 1 species
AGCCUGACAGCCAUGCCGCGUGCAGGAAGACGGCCUUCUGGGUUGUAAACUGCUUUUCUACGGGAAGAAAAUGCCCUUGCGAGGGAAAUUGCCGGUACCGUAGGAAUAAGCACCGGCUAACUCCGUGCCAGCAGCCGCGGUAAUACGGAGGGUGCAAGCGUUGUCCGGAUUUAUUGGGUUUAAAGGGUGCGUAGGCGGAUCUUUAAGUCAGUGGUGAAAGCCUGCAGCUUAACUGUAGAACUGCCAUUGAUACUGGAGGUCUUGAGUACACUAGAGGUAGGCGGAAUUUAUGGUGUAGCGGUGAAAUGCAUAGAUACCAUAAAGAACACCUAUAGCGUAGGCAGCUUACUGGAGUGUAACUGACGCUGAGGCACGAAAGCAUGGGGAGCGAACAGGAUUAGAUACCCUGGUAGUCCAUGCCGUAAACGAUGAUUACUCGAUGUUGGCGAUAUACUGUCAGCGUCCAAGCGAAAGCGUUAAGUAAUCCACCUGGGGAGUACGCUCGCAAGAGUGAAACUCAAAUG